UUAAGCGACUAAGCGUACACGGUGGAUGCCCUGGCAGUCAGAGGCGAUGAAGGACGUGCUAAUCUGCGAAAAGCGUCGGUAAGGUGAUAUGAACCGUUANCCGGCGAUGUCCGAAUGGGGAAACCCAGUGCAAUUCGUUGCACUAUCGUUAACUGAAUACAUAGGUUAACGAGGCGAACCGGGGGAACUGAAACAUCUAAGUACCCCGAGGAAAAGAAAUCAACCGAGAUUCCCCCAGUAGCGGCGAGCGAACGGGGAGCAGCCCAGAGUCUGAAUCAGCUUGUGUGUUAGUGGAACGGUCUGGAAAGUCCGACGGUACAGGGUGAUAGUCCCGUACACCAAAAUGCACAGGUUGUGAACUCGAAGAGUAGGGCGGGACACGUGGUAUCCUGUCUGAAUAUGGGGGGACCAUCCUCCAAGGCUAAAUACUCCUGACUGACCGAUAGUGAACCAGUACCGUGAGGGAAAGGCGAAAAGAACCCCGGCGAGGGGAGUGAAAAAGAACCUGAAACCGUGUACGUACAAGCAGUGGGAGCACCUUCGGGUGUGACUGCGUACCUUUUGUAUAAUGGGUCAGCGACUUAUAUUCUGUAGCAAGGUUAACCGUAUAGGGGAGCCGCAGGGAAACCGAGUCUUAACUGGGCGUUAAGUUGCAGGGUAUAGACCCGAAACCCGGUGAUCUAGCCAUGGGCAGGUUGAAGGUUGGGUAACACUAACUGGAGGACCGAACCGACUAAUGUUGAAAAAUUAGCGGAUGACUUGUGGCUGGGGGUGAAAGGCCAAUCAAACCGGGAGAUAGCUGGUUCUCCCCGAAAGCUAUUUAGGUAGCGCCUCGUGAACUCAUCUUCGGGGGUAGAGCACUGUUUCGGCUAGGGGGUCAUCCCGACUUACCAACCCGAUGCAAACUACGAAUACCGAAGAAUGUUAUCACGGGAGACACACGGCGGGUGCUAACGUCCGUCGUGAAGAGGGAAACAACCCAGACCGCCAGCUAAGGUCCCAAAGUCAUGGUUAAGUGGGAAACGAUGUGGGAAGGCACAGACAGCCAGGAUGUUGGCUUAGAAGCAGCCAUCAUUUAAAGAAAGCGUAAUAGCUCACUGGUCGAGUCGGCCUGCGCGGAAGAUGUAACGGGGCUAAACCAUGCACCGAAGCUGCGGCAGCGACACUAUGUGUUGUUGGGUAGGGGAGCGUUCUGUAAGCCUGCGAAGGUGUGCUGUGAGGCAUGCUGGAGGUAUCAGAAGUGCGAAUGCUGACAUAAGUAACGAUAAAGCGGGUGAAAAGCCCGCUCGCCGGAAGACCAAGGGUUCCUGUCCAACGUUAAUCGGGGCAGGGUGAGUCGACCCCUAAGGCGAGGCCGAAAGGCGUAGUCGAUGGGAAACAGGUUAAUAUUCCUGUACUUGGUGUUACUGCGAAGGGGGGACGGAGAAGGCUAUGUUAGCCGGGCGACGGUUGUCCCGGUUUAAGCAUGUAGGCUGGUUAUCCAGGCAAAUCCGGAUAAUCAAGGCUGAGGUGUGAUGACGAGGCACUACGGUGCUGAAGUAACAAAUGCCCUGCUUCCAGGAAAAGCCUCUAAGCAUCAGGUAACAUCAAAUCGUACCCCAAACCGACACAGGUGGUCAGGUAGAGAAUACCAAGGCGCUUGAGAGAACUCGGGUGAAGGAACUAGGCAAAAUGGUGCCGUAACUUCGGGAGAAGGCACGCUGGUGUGUAGGUGAAGUCCCUGCGGAUGGAGCUGAGACCAGUCGAAGAUACCAGCUGGCUGCAACUGUUUAUUAAAAACACAGCACUGUGCAAACACGAAAGUGGACGUAUACGGUGUGACGCCUGCCCGGUGCCGGAAGGUUAAUUGAUGGGGUUAUCCGUAAGGAGAAGCUCUUGAUCGAAGCCCCGGUAAACGGCGGCCGUAACUAUAACGGUCCUAAGGUAGCGAAAUUCCUUGUCGGGUAAGUUCCGACCUGCACGAAUGGCGUAAUGAUGGCCAGGCUGUCUCCACCCGAGACUCAGUGAAAUUGAACUCGCUGUGAAGAUGCAGUGUACCCGCGGCAAGACGGAAAGACCCCGUGAACCUUUACUAUAGCUUGACACUGAACAUUGAGCCUUGAUGUGUAGGAUAGGUGGGAGGCUUUGAAGCGUGGACGCCAGUCUGCGUGGAGCCAACCUUGAAAUACCACCCUUUAAUGUUUGAUGUUCUAACGUUGGCCCCUGACCGGGGUUGCGGACAGUGUCUGGUGGGUAGUUUGACUGGGGCGGUCUCCUCCCAAAGCGUAACGGAGGAGCACGAAGGUUAGCUAAUCCUGGUCGGACAUCAGGAGGUUAGUGCAAUGGCAUAAGCUAGCUUGACUGCGAGCGUGACGGCGCGAGCAGGUGCGAAAGCAGGUCAUAGUGAUCCGGUGGUUCUGAAUGGAAGGGCCAUCGCUCAACGGAUAAAAGGUACUCCGGGGAUAACAGGCUGAUACCGCCCAAGAGUUCAUAUCGACGGCGGUGUUUGGCACCUCGAUGUCGGCUCAUCACAUCCUGGGGCUGAAGUAGGUCCCAAGGGUAUGGCUGUUCGCCAUUUAAAGUGGUACGCGAGCUGGGUUUAGAACGUCGUGAGACAGUUCGGUCCCUAUCUGCCGUGGGCGCUGGAGAAUUGAGGGGGGCUGCUCCUAGUACGAGAGGACCGGAGUGGACGCAUCACUGGUGUUCGGGUUGUCAUGCCAAUGGCACUGCCCGGUAGCUAAAUGCGGAAGAGAUAAGUGCUGAAAGCAUCUAAGCACGAAACUUGCCCCGAGAUGAGUUCUCCCUGAGACUAUAAGUCUCCUGAAGGAACGUU
rnacentral:rRNA from 1 species